GCGGUAGGGCAGUGGGGUAGCACGCGCUCUCGGUAAGGGUGAAACGGGGGUUCGACUCCCGCCUGAAGUC